rnacentral:lncRNA from 1 species
CAUUAUGAUAAGUAUCUGAUCAAGAAAAUUUGGGGACGUUUAAAUACUCAUACGGCAUUCUUUCUUGCAGCGGCAGGAUGGCAGGAAAUAAAUAAACGUUUAGCAUCGUACGUUUUGACAACACUGUUUUUGACGACUGGACAGCACGUGGUCCUUAAAAGGAGCUGCUCACUUGAAUGGGUGAAGGACAGUGAAAUUAAAAUGAAUGAAUUUGCAGCGGAUCUUAACUUGUCCCUUGACGAGAUUCUUCGAAUCGUUAAAACCCCUGGUAUCUCGGAGGUAGAGGCUUUGCGUAAAAUGAACGUUGUUCUAAGUCGCCACUAUUUAGUAGCUCCAUCAUUAACUGUUGCUAAGACGUUGCUUCGGAAUCUAGCUAUUACUGAGGAAGUUAAAUUUACUCCCGUUAAAAUGAUUGACACCCUUGUAGCUCUCGAAUACAUCAUAACCGGAUUUCUGAGGGUACAGGCUUCCCCCUCGUACCAGCAAUCCUCUGGUUCAAUUGGUUCAAUGAUGAAAGGUUUAAUCGGUAGGACCAAACCCUUCUGUUCGCACCCAACAAUCGCUGCCAUGGAGGCAAAAGAAAAGGAAGUGGAGAACCCUCAUAAUUGGACAAAUCAUAUUGACCCUGCAGAUCUGGAAACUCCUCCACCAAAGCUGCGCAAAUUACCGAAGGAAGUGGAGAAAGCACUCCAACAUAAAGCUUCUCGUCCCCUCACAUUUGUGGCUGAAUACGAAGCAAGAAUGAAGGAUAGGUUAGUGAAAGCAUCACCAGUGGAUAAUGAAAUCGAAACUGAAAGAGAAGACACUCUGUCCGACAUAUUUGACGAUGGAAAAUCAGAUGUACGGAAUUCUACCUUUGAAAAGUCCGGGGGGGGAAACCCUGAGUUUGGUGAAUUGAAAUCCAACAGACCCAUCGAUUCGUCUGAAUUGCACGGAGAAAAGUCAACGACGAAUGGUGUGAAUCCGGUUCUGCCUUCAUCUGAAGGGAAGGGUGAAGCUGGUGACGAAAACGUUAAAUCACUACUCCACAUAGAACCUCAAGAAAACAAUCCUCUUGCCUUUCCCGAUUUAAACAGGAACCCGCCGACUAAUGUCCGGAUUCUAGAUUUGUUUUCUUUGCUGCACUCCUCCAACCCAAGAUGUUUCAAGAACAGUCCGUUCGGUCAUUCUUCAAAUCUUCUUUUGCAGGAUGAAAAAAUAAGUAUUAUCGCAUACGUAUCAAAUUGCUUUUUAAUAUACUGUGUUAAAUUGCCAAGAUGUCAUUCUACCAGAUAUUGUUUAUGUAAUAUCAACAGCGCUCAUAUUUUUGAAUUAUUAGUGGCCUGCAUGUGCUUGAAUUAUUAACUUUUUCCUUUGAAUCUAUUAAAAAAGUAAAUAAAAUAAACCACAAACAUACCUGAGGAAUUUGCACUUAGAAUCUACAAUCAAGUAAUAAUUUUACAAUUUAUACUUCAGCAUCUCUGCAUGUUGUAUGUUGAUUUCAUAUCGCAUAUAGAGCCGCUCAAAAAUGACAUGAGCUGUUUAAAUGGGGGGGGGGGGAUCUUUGCUUACCUUACGGCGGGGUUACCCGUGCGAGAAGGGUCAAACCCAGUCUUCCGUGAGCCCUCAUUUUAGAAAAAGGAAAUUUACUCAUAUAUUCUCCAAUAUUAAUAAUUUUUCAGCUUUUUUUUAGGCGUUCUCUGUUAAUUUCAUGAGGGGGUUGGAAUGGAUCAAGUCAAUCCUCAGAGGGGUUGAAAAUUUCCCUUAGGGGUACCUGAGAGAGGUAACCGAAUUGCCUUACGUAAUAAUUGAACGGCCUCCAUACUUUGAUUUUCAAAAAAGUUCUUGCAGAGCGCCUCGAUGUCGUAAAUUUCUGAUGAGUUUUCCAACGAAUGGAGAAUUUGCAGGUGUCUGAAUUUUGUAAAUUCCAUUUUGUAAAAUGAAAAUGUCAAGAAAACUGAGCGCGAUGAUAUCCUCGGUUUCUAAAUUGAACAAUUAUUGGAGGAGAUAUUACAGAAUAACCUAAUCUGACGAAAUACAUGUGUUUAAAUGGGAAAUAACAAAAGAUGAUGUCACAAGGCGGCACAUUUUCUCACAAUAAAAUCUAUUUUUCUCCGAUUUCCCAUUUCAGAAAAAAAUCAUGAAAAAUACUGCGAACUAAGCUGAUUAAGCACUCUCAGAUGAAGCAAUAAAAUUUGUGUGUGCAAAUUCUCCAUUGCUUUGGGUUAGAAAUAAUUUCUUCAUAGAGACUAUAUUUGACACCAGUGUCUGCGUUUCCUGGGAAAUCAGUCGGCCAAGUACAUUAGAGGUUCACGCACAGUCCAGCAGGGCAGCGACAGGCUGCAUUUAUGAUGAAUGGCAACGCAUUACGGUAAAAGCGCCCAAAUGCCCGUUCCUAUUCGAUGCAAGUGCGCGGUUUUCACAUUUGCUAAGCCAAACGUUCGUACCGAGACGCAUUUUGCAAUGACUGUUGAACGAGUAAAUGAAUGAGUUCAAUUUUCAAUGGCACAUGCAUCUUGCAGCUUGAGCUUCAUUUUUACGUGGGUUCGGCAGGCAGGCAUGCGCCAAAGACGAUCAGAUUUUGCACGGACGAAAGGGGGUCUUAAAGUCUCAUUGAAAGGUCAUUUUAGCGUAAGCUUGACACUUAGUAGGAUAACAUGUGUUUUUAAUGUCAUGAUGUUAAAUAUCAAAACGUUAAAUCUUAAAAUAUGACGUGUCAUUAAUGGUCGUUAGUAUAUUAGUAUUUUUUUAUAGCUAGAUUAAUUUAUUUGUGUUAAGUAGAAAAAUGUGAAAAUUCCGAAAGAAGACCUAAGGUAAAAAGCACCGAUCAUCAUGUUACGAAUUGAAACGGUCUUUUUCUCUUUCUUAAAUGCACAGUACCAGCUAGUAAAUUUGCGCACUUGUGUAUAGUGAAAUCAGUGACACACAAUGGGUGUAGUUUAGAUAGGCAACUAACCUAACUGCAUGGCAAAGUGGAGAGUAUUGCGCGAAACUGAAGGCGCUCUGAGUCGAGAAACUACUUUUGAAGGUCUUUGUCAAUAAAACAUUGUGAAUACCUGCGACAUAUUUACCUAUUUGCACAACCAGACAGUUUAAACAACUCUCGAUGUCUGAAGCAAAACAAGUUGUCAAAACGCUCUAAUCAGACAGUUUUCUCGUAACUGGAACCAACUGGUCCUUACUAGCUCGCAAGUGGCCCUCAAAACGGAGCUACUUCUCAAGUGUGAACUACCUAUAAUUAUUGUACAUCCUGCUUCUCGUGAAGGCUUCCUUCUUGAUAUCAGCUUGAUAGUCUGAUAUUAUCAUUUUCGGAUAAUAUAUGUCCAAAUUGUAACUCCAACUCAUCGAGAUUAUUAAGAUCUCACGAGAGCAUGCGUGAUGAAACAUUUCUUUUACCGCACAAGAUGUCACAGUUCUUGGUUGCCGCUGUGACAAAGUCACGGUUUACAUAACAUGUAUACCUAUAAUUGAAAUGGCUUCUUGACUCUGCUAAGGAUG